rnacentral:lncRNA from 1 species
CCAUCUUAAUUAGGUUCACUGAGGAGAAUUGCACUGUUACAAAUAUAAGGAUUAUGAGAAUUACUUUGAGCAACAUCCAUAACAGUGAAAAUGCUUUACUAUGUAAUUGCUAGUGUUCUGUAUUAAAAGCAACAUUGUUGGCUCUUCUUUCCUAGAACAUAUAGUUGAAAGCUUCUGUUUUGAAUCAUUAGGAAAAAGUAAUAUAUUGUUCUGUUACUA